UCAUCUUUAUUAGACUGUAUUGGAUACUUAAAUCUUUUAUUGGAUCAUCUUAACGUCUUUUAUGUUUGGCUUUCUUUCAGUUUGAAGUGAUACAGAAAUUUGAAGAGAUGUGCUUGGAGUCUUCCAGGGAAUUUUCUCCUUUAUUUGCAUUGGUUUUGCAUGAACUUUAUGACAAAGAAAUUGUGUCAGAAGCUGCGAUUCUCCAAUGGGAGUCAGAGAAAGAAGGAGCUGAUGAGUCGGAUAAAAUAUUUGUGAAGCAGUCAGAGCAAUUCAUCAAGUGGCUGAAAGAAGCACCAGAAGAGUCAACCGAUGAGGAAGGAUGAGUGAUAGAUUGAAGUCUCGUCAUUCAGAUGUUCCUGCCUAUUUGUUGUGUCCAGAUUAUUUCUUCAUGGUUUGCAGUUGGAAGUUGGAACUAACUACCUCACAAGUGGGAAACCUCAAGAUCAGCACUGGGUAUUUCUGCUGCAGAGACACCGGCCAGGAUCAAUUCAUCAUUCACUCCCUGAUUAACUUCAGUGGCUGUAGUGUGCCUAUGGUGAUGAUUGACAAUCCAUCUGCCUACUCAAUGUUCUUUCUGCUGCUGCUCAUGACGCUUCAGAACUCCAACCUGGUUCUAGAUUCCUUAACAUGGUCAUUAGUGUCCAAGUUUCUUAGUAAAAUGUCAAUUUUUGGAAGGAGAACUAUUUAUAAUACACUUCAAGUUGAGAUUA